rnacentral:lncRNA from 1 species
AGGGCGGGUCCGCGGCCGCCAGGUGAGCCCGCCCCGGUAGCCCCGCGCGUGGUCCGGUCGGCAGAGGCUUGGCGAGCCGCCAUCCCGCCCCUGCCCCAGGCCCACCUUCCCCCACCGCCCAGGCCCCGCUGGCCUCCCCGGCUCAUCUCGCACCCGGCGCAGACCCCAUGCCCUCCCGUCUCGGCAGCGCCCCCCGCUUCGCCUCCCGGUCCGGCCCCAGCUCGACGGGCGGAACCGGGUGCGCACAGCAGCCCCGCGCCCUGGCCCAGGGCCAGCGGGUUAACGCUUAACUACGCUCCAGGAGCUGUAGGCUCCAGCCGCGCCUCGAGUCCCCAACCUUUGGCCCCGGAAGCCAAAAAGAGGAGCGGACGGUGAAGGAGUCAGGGUGAGUUCCAGAGGCCGCUCCCAGAUUUUCCCUCCCGAGCCUGGCCAGACUGGGCGUAUGUCCGACAUCUCCACCUCUGACCCCGGGCGCUCUGGGCUGAGCUGGGGGCGAUGGUGGUGGGCAUCGACGCCGUCUUACCUGGACGCCCACAGUGGACCUGACCUGGCCGAGGGGUGGGGGUGGGGUUGGGAACUACGGAGGCGCUCGGGGUUCCUGGGUAAGUUCCCGCGGACUGCUCGCUCCUUGCCGGGUGCUACAAUAGGCGUAUCCGGUGUCCCUGGAGCCAAGCUAGGGGACGGGAUCAACGUGGGGGCGGGGCAGCGUGCCCGAAGGGCAUUGCUGCAUUCCAGGUGUUGGGGAACGCAGUGAGCGAAGGCGUGGAGGUGAGGGAGAAUGUGGAAGGCGUGCGCCCGGCCGGGGAACCCUGGGCUUUGUCCUGUGGGCAGCUGGAGCGGCUGGGCGUUCCCGGCUGCGACAACGCCCACCUGGCCCCGCACCUGGGCCUGCUCGCAAUCCAGCGGCGCCUCUCCGCAUCUGCCUUCACGGAUCUCAGCCCCAGCAGAGCCCUUGUGCCGGACCCUGGGGCGGGAUUGCGAGUUCAGAGGGAGUCAAGAGGCGCCCUUGAGUAUGGCGGGAGCCCCACCCCAAGCACCUGGUGGGAACUCACUUGCCUAGGGAGAGAGCAGGGCAGUGAGCACUCCGGGCUGGCUCCCAGGAAAGACCCUCCGGCAGGAGCUUGGAUUGCAAGGUUGGGGAGGAGGGAGGCCAGGGGAGGGACCUGCAGCCAGGUGAUCCGGGUGCCUGUAUUUCUUCCCAAGGAUAAUGUGAGUUGAUGCUGGCUGAGAUCUGCUCCGAUGAGGGUUUGAAAGAGAGAGCUCCGGGUGUCAAAGUCAGUGGAUGGCAAAACAUGCCUGGAGGGAGCAACCAGGCAUCCAACCACAGGCCCUGGGCUGGAGGGCGGGGGGGGGGGGGGGUGGAAGCAGAGGAAGGAGAGAGAAGGAAAUUUGGGAGGAAGAGUGGGCACGAACUGGCUGCCCAAUUGUGUGGGUGGGUAGGUGGCAGGGAGGGACUGGUUGUUCUGGGUCUGCCCCUCCGGCCCCACCACACCUGCUUCCAGGUGAGCUUAGGAAUUUCCCAGGCUUCCUCCCAGCUGGAGCCAGACGUGUCCCUCAGAGGCCCCAGCCCUGCCCAUCCUUUCCUGCCCUACCCAGGGCUUCUCUACCUUCUUGGCUUGGCCUGCUCCUUGUUCACACCUUGGUAAAUGACCCUUCACAAAAGUCAUUUUCUCUAUUUGUGCUUUUCUUUCUUUUGCCAGGACGCUUGACUUUCUCGACAGGGAGGGGGAGGCAAGCCUGGUGCCCAGUGCUCUGCCUGCACUGGUCAGUGCGCGUGGCUGUCACUUGGCUGGGAAGCUAGGCCAGGAGAGCAGCUGCAGCUGUGGAGGUCGGCAGUUGAGAGGUGGAGAGACCUGAGCACACUUGGGCCAGUCGUCCCGUGGCAUUUGGGAGCCCAGGACCGAGCCGGGGGGCAAGUGUGGGCAAUGCUUGGAGCCACAGAGUGGGGGUAGGGAAUUGGAGGGGUAGAGAGGACAACUCAAACCAAGCCAGGAACCCACAGAGGAGACCAGGAAAGGAAAACCAAGAAGGAGUGAGUCCCCAAUGCCCCCAAAUUGAUCCAUAUAUUGAAUGAUCCCCAGUAAAAGUAGCUCCAUGAUGAUUCCAAAGCCCUUAGGAAACUAAAGGUGCCAGGAGAAUGAAUAGACACGUCUCCAUAGAAGACACACACUGGUCAACAAGUACAUGGGAAAUGUCCAGCAUCCUCCAGGAAAUGCAAAGCAAAACCACAGUGAGAUCCCACCUCCCACCCGCUGGGACUGGGCAGAUGCAGUCCUGGCAAACCAGUCUUGGUGAGGAGCGGGGGUAUCAGAGCCCUGCUGCACUGAGAUACACACACACAAAAUGGAAUAGUAUUCAGUCUUAAAAAGGAAAGAAAUUCCAGUACUGGCUGCAACUUGGAUGGACCCUGAGGAUCCUAUGCUGAGUUAAAUAAGCCAGUCACAGAAGAACACGUACCAUACAAUCCCACUUAUGUGAGGUCCCUAGAGUAGUCACUUUCAUAGAGAUAGUAGCUGACAGGAGGAGCAUGGGGAGUGACUGUUUAAUGAAUACAGACUUGAAAUUUGGGAAGAGGUAAAAGUUCUGGAGAUGGAUGGUGGUGAUGGGUGGUGAUGAUGGACAUUGGAGAUGGGCAAUGGACAUGGAUGGUGGUGAUGGAUGGUAUAAAUGGAUAUUGGAUGUGGACAGCGGACGUGGACAGUGGAGAUAGAGGGUGGUGAUGGCUGGUGGACAUGGACAGUGAAGAUAGAGAGUAGUGAUGGAUGGUGGAGAUAGAGGGCGGUGAUGGACAGUGGAGAUAGAGGGUGGUGAUGGACAGUGGAGAUAGAGGGUGGUGAUGGACAGUGGACAUGGACAGUGGAGAUAGAGGGUGGUGAUGGACAGUGGAGAUAGAGGGUGGUGAUGGACAGUGGACAUGGAUAGUGGAGACAGAGGGUAGUGAUGGACAGUGGAGAUAGAGGGUGGUGAUGGACAGUGGACAUGGACAGUGGAGAUAAAGGGUGGUGAUGGACAGUGGAGAUAGAGGGUGGUGAUGGACAGUGGAGAUAGAGGGUGGUGAUGGACAGUGGAGAUAGAGGGUGGUGAUGAACAGUGGAGAUAGAGGGUAGUGAUGGACAGUGGACAUGGACAGUGGAGAUAGAGGGUGGUGAUGGAUGGUGGACAUGGACAGUGGAGAUAGAGGGUGGUGAUAGACGGUGGACAUGGACAGUGGACAUGGACGGUGGGGACAGAGGGUGGUGAUGGACGGUGGACACAGACGGUGGAGAUAGAGGGUGGUGAUGGACGGUGGACACGGACAGUGGAGAUAGAGGGUGGUGAUGGACAGUGGAGAUAGAGGGUGGUGAUGGUCAGUGGAGAUAGAGGGUGGUGAUGGACGGUGGAGAUAGAGGGUGGUGAUGGACAGUGGACAUGGACAGUGGAGACAGAGGGGGUGAUGGACAAUGGACAUGGACAGUGGAGAUACAGGGUGGUGAUGGACGGUGGACAUGGACAGUGGAGACCGGGGGUGAUGAACAGUGGACAUGGACAGUGGAGACAGAGGGUGGUGAUGGACCCUGGAGAUAGAGGGUGGUGAUGGACAGUGGAGAUAGAGGGUGGUGAUGGGCGGUGGACAUGGACAGUGGAGAUAGAGGGUGGUGAUGGACAGUGGACAUGGACAGUGGAGAUAGAGGGUAGUGAUAGACGGUGGACAUGGAUAGUGGAGAUAGAGGGUGGUGAUGGAGGGUGGAGAUGGAGGGUGGUGAUGGAGGGUGGAGAUGCAGGGUGGUGAUGGAGGGUGGCGAUGGAGGUUGGUGAUGGAGGGUGGCGAUGGAGGGUGGUGAUGGAGGGUGGAGAUGGAGGGUGGUGAUGGAGGGUGGAGAUGCAGGGUGGAAAUGGAGGGUGGAGAUGCAGGGUGGAAAUGGAGGGUGGUGAUGGACAGCAGAGAUGAAUGGUUGUGAUGGAUGGUGGAGAUGGAGGGUGGAAAUGGUGGGUGAUGGAGGGUGGAGAUGGUGAGUGGUGAUAGAAGGUGGAGAUGAAUGGUGGCGAUGGACGGUGGAAAUGGAAGAUGGAGAUGGAGGGUGGAUGGAGGGUGGAGAUGGUGAGUGGUGAUACAGGGUGGAGAUAAAUGGUGGUAAUGGACAUAGAGAUGGACGGUGGAAAUGGAGGAUGGUGAUGGUUGUACAACAAUGUGAAUGCACUUGAUGUCACUCAACUGUUCACUUAAAAAUGGCAAACAUAGUAGUUUUUAUGUUACAUAUAUUUUACUACAAUAAAAAAAGAAUGAAAAGCCUAUAAAAUUCUGAAAAAUAAAAAAGGGGGCUUUAGCCCUGCCAGAGAGUAGAAUCCAUCAUAGAACAUCUUGCUAUGGGCAGUUGACUGGACACACACAUCAGAGCAGGUCUGUGUGAUCAUUUAGCAUAUGAUUAAUGGGGCAUUUAAAAUCCACGAGGGGCCGGGCGCAGUGGCUCACGCCCGUAAUCCCAGCACUUUGGGAGGCCGAGGCGGGUGGAUCACCUGAGGUCAGCAGUUCGAGACCAGCCUAACUAACAUGGGGAAACCCUGUCUCUACUAAAAAUACAAAAAAUAGCUGGGCAUGGUGGUGGGUGGCUGUAAUCCCAGCUACUGAGGUGGCUGAGGUGGGAGAAUCACUUGAACCUGGAAGCGGAGGUUGCAGUGAGCCAAGAUCGUGCCACUUCUCUCCAGCCUGAGCAACAAAGCGAGACUCUGUCUCAAAAAAUAAAUUAAUUAAUAAAUAAAUAAAUCCAUGAGGGAAAGGAUGUCAUUUAAAAAAGGGUGUGGCCAGGCACGGUGGCUCAUGCCUAUAACCAGCACUUUGGAGGCCGAGGCAGGUGGAUCACCUGAGGUCAGGAGUUUGAGACUGGCCUGGCCAGCAUGGUGAAACUCUGUCUCUACUAAAAAAAAAGGACAAAAUUAGCUGGAUGUGGUGGCGCAUGCCUGUAAUCCCAGCUACUUGGGAGGCUGAGGCAGGAGAAUCGCUUGAACCUGGGAGGCAGAGAUUGCAGUGAGCCUAGAUUACGCCAUUGUACUUCAGUCUGGGCAACGAGCGAAACUCCAUCUCAAAAAAAAUAAAAAUAAUAAUAAAAUAAUAAUAAAGGGUGGUGGAGCAACUGGGCGGCCUUGGUGUCUGGAAAAACAUGACGUUGGAUCCUGAUCCCACUCUUCACACGGAAAUAAAUUCCUUAUGGAGCGGAAAUAGAAAUGCAAAAACCCAAAACCACAAACAUAAUUUGGAAAAAACACAGGAGACUAUUUAAUGAUCUCAGGAUCCGGAAGGCUUUUCUGAGCACAACAAAAAAGCAGAAGCCACAGGGAACAUUGUUGAAAAAUUUAAUUAAAUUACAAAUGGCAACAUUUUGCCUAGACCACAUAUUUAAAAUCAAAGGAUGUGCAACAAACUGGGGAGAACCCAUGAUAACUCAGUGGUUAACAAAGGGCCGAUUCUCCCAACAAAGGGCUACUAUCAGUCAACGAGGAAAGGGCCAGGCCGCCGGACACGCUGCACAAAGGAAGCCCCAAUGGCUGCUGACUGCAAGAUGCUGAACCUCCGCCGUAAUCAGGGAUGAGCAAAUUGGCCCUACCGGAAGAUGGUAUUUUCACCUGUCAGACGUUUUCAUGAGAGACUGGGAUGGGAGGAGCGGGGAGACAGGCACUUCCCACAACUCCCAGCAGGAGUGUGAAUUUGGGGUGUCGGGGGAGGGGAUUUUGUUUCCACUAUAGCCUGGUACUGCGAUUUGGUCCAGGGCUCUGGUGAAGAUGUAGGAGUUGGCCUGCGUCAGCGCCCGUCCCCGCUUUCCACAGCGAGCAAAGACCGUGGGAACCCUGAUGCCCCUUUGCAUUUGCGCUUCUGUACUUAGCUGCUAGUCUCAGGCAGUGAAAGCUUCAAGCCACCCGCAGAGCCCUGGAACUGGGGCAUUGGCUCUAGUGGGAAAAGGAGGCUUCCCACUGGCGACCCACCAUGACAGACCACAAAAGACAUGCAGGUCCCCACAGUCAGGCCCUGACACCCACUCUUCCUGCCUUCUUCUGCCUAGGCUUGCACAGCUGGGCAAGUGAGCGGGAGCCACGGGUUAGCUGAGAUCACCUGCGGCCAGGAACAGGGCCUUCCUGGAGGUGAGGACAAGCUCUGCUUCCUCCAGGAGCAGGUGCUGGAGCAGAGCGGCUCCCCCGUUCUACAAGUGUCCUCUGUGUGGCGGCCCAGGUCUGUGCGGGCCUGUCCAGCCCAGGAGAGGACAGAAGUCAUCUGUAGCCUGGGCCCCUGUGGCCCCCAGCGAGAGGCCCUGGUGGGACUGGUCUUUCUCAGCCUGUGCACCUGGGGCUGAAACAGGACUCAAAGAGGGAAAGUGGCCCAGGCAGGCCCUCCCCUCAGGCCUCCCCUCUCCCUGGCUGCUCUCCCAGGCUUCCCUGCUUUCCCUUCUGAGACCCCGACUACUGGACCCAGCCUUACUGCCAAGAUAAUUAUCCACAACAGCAGGAGCGCCCAGGCCCAUGAAGAUAAUCGCCUGCCCAGCACUGUGUCCACAUCCAGUUCAUCCCAGCUGAGACCCAAGUGCAGCUGAGGGGUGGGGGACACUCCUCAGCUCUCGAAUGAUGCCAACCCUCCAGGGCCUGGCUGGGAGCAGCUCAGUGCUUCCUGGCUCCGGGGCUGUGUUCCCUACGUCCCAUUCGGAGCUUCUCUCCUGAAGAAAACAGUGUCUGCCUGCACCCUUCUUAGAAAGCACCCUGACACGUGGCUACAAAGAGCAGAGAGCACAGUACCCUUCCCAGACACACACCAGCACCCCCACCCACUGCAUUUAAGCCACCACUGUCCCGCCGCAUUCAUCCCUCCUCUACCCCCUAAAUUCAUCUUUCAGUGGAACUCUGCGUUCAUCCCUCCACUCCCCGCUCCAUUCAUCCCUCCACUCCCUGCUCCAUUCACCCCUCCACUCCCCCCUCCAUUCACCCUUCCACUCCCCCCUCCAUUCAUCCUUCCACUACCCCCUAAAUUCAUCCUUCCACAGAACCCUGCGUUCAUCCCUCCACUCCCCGCUCCAUUCACCUCCACUCUCCCUCCAUUCACCCCUCCAAACCCCCCUCCAUUCACCCCUCCACUCUCCCCUCCCUUCACCCUCCACUCCCUGCUCCUUUCACCCCUCCACUCCCCCCCAUUCACCCUUCCACUCCCCCCUCCAUUCAUCCUUCCACUACCCCCUAAAUUCAUCCUUCCACAGAACCCUGCGUUCAUCCCUCCACUCCCCGCUCCAUUCACCUCCACUCUCCCUCCAUUCACCCCUCCAAACCCCCCUCCAUUCAUCCCUCCACUCCCCCCUCCAUUCACCCCUCCACUCCCCCCUACAUUCACCCCUCCACUCCCCCCUCCAUUCACCCCUCCACUCCCACCUCCAUUCACCCCUCCACUCCCCCCUCCAUUCACCCCUCCACUCCCCCCUCCAUUCACCCCUCCACUCCCCCCUCCAUUCACCCUCCACUCCCCCCUCCCUUCAACCUCCAGUCCCCUCUCCAUUCACCUCUCCACUCCCCCCAUUCACCCCUCCACUCCCCACUCCAUCCCUCCAUUCCCCCCUCCAUUCAUCCCUCCACUCCCCCCUACAUUCAUCCCUCCACUCGCCCCUACAUUCAUCCCUCCCCUACUCCUUACAUUCAUCCUUCCACUCCCUCACUCCAUUCAUACCUCCACUUCCCCCUCCAUUCAUUCCUCCACUGCCCCCUCCAUUCCUCCACUGCCCCCUCCAUUCCUCCCUCCACUGCCCCCUCCGUUCAUCCCUCCACUGCCCCCUACAUUCAUCCCUCCCCUAUCCCCUCCCUGCCCCCUCCGUUCAUCCCUCCACUGCCCCCUCCGUUCAUCCCUCCACUGCCCCCUACAUUCAUCCCUCCCCUAUCCCCUCCAUUCAUCCCUCCACUCCCUCACUCCAUUCAUCCCUCCACUGCCCCCUCCAUUCCUCCCUCCACUGCUCCUGACUGCCGGCUCUGGGGCAGUGCUCUGUGUCCCAUGGUGCAGAGUAGGACAAUGAUGAGGAGGCAGAAGAGCAAUCGAGUGGAGUUUCGGAGAGUACUGUCAUAACCCUGCGCUGAGGGCGGAUCCCAUCUCUGCCCAGGUCCUGGAUCUUUACCACCCAGCACCCACACACCCCCUAAGCUCUGCAGGACCCAUGGUGAACAAGAUGAGGAAGAGGACUGAGGUGGUCAUCUCCUUUCUACUUCAGCGGGAAUCCUUUCUCUGCGGUUCAUCAGGGAAAAUGGAAUUUUUUUUGCUCACCUACAGAUCAGCUCUCCAGCAUGACGGGCCCUGCGGACCACCUGCCUCAAAGCCUUUCCUCCUUGUUCUUUCCAACAGAACCAGGGGCUUUCAGCCAUCUGUGGUGAUCUCUUGAUCUCGGGGAAGGGGCCAGGUCCAGGACUGAGCAAGGGCACAUAACUAAUUUGGGGCCAAGGAGAUAUGAGGGGAAGUGUGCUGUUGCAGGGGACAGUGUGUGGGGAAGGGCGCUUCUAGGAAUGCCGUCCUCCUGUUAAAGAGUUGAUGUGAGGUAAGACAUUCUCUGUCUCUACUCACCGCCUCUGCUGGGUGAGGACAUGAUUCUUGGGACUGCAGAGCCAUCUUGAGACUAAGAGAAGACCAGGAGCAGAGCAGACAAGCUGACCAAGAUCCCUGCCACAGCUGAACUGGACCCAGAGCCAUAGACUUCUUAAUCUUACGAAGUGGAUCAAGCUAACAAACUUAAACGAUGUUGUUUAAGCUACUUUGGGUUGGAUGUUCUGUUAGUUACAGCUGAAUCACCCAUGUAGCAGAGGAUGUUUUUAUUUAUUUUAGAGACAAGCUGUUGCUCUGUCACCCCGGCUGAAGUGCAGGUGCAAUCAUAGCUCACUGCAGCCUCAAAAUCCUGGCUGCAAGUGAUCCUCCCACCUCACCCUCCCAAGUACCUGGGACUACAGGUGCACUCUGCCACGCCAGCUAAUUUUUUAAAUUUUUGUAAAUAUGGGGCCUCAGUAUGUUGCCCAGGCUGUUAUUGAAUUCCCGGCCUCAAACGAUCCUCCUGCUUCAGUCUCCCAAAGUGCUGGGAUUACAGGUGUGAACCACUGUACCUCGCCCUGCACACGUGCUUAGAUAUGCUUUCUCCAAGUACUGUUCUUUGGAAUACUGGUAAUAAAUAUUUCUAUGAGCUGGGCACGGUGGCUCACUCCUGUAAUCCCAGCAUUUUGGGAGGCUGAGGCGGGCGGAUCAUCUAAGGUCAGGAGUGCAAGACCAGCCUGACCAACAUGGAUAAACCCCAUCUCUACUAAAGAUACAAAAUUAGCUGCGCGUGGUGGCGCAUGCCUGUAGUCCCAGCUACUCGGGAGGCUGAGGCAGGAGAAUUGCUUGAACCCGGGAGGCAGAGGUUGCGGUGAGCUGAGAUCGCACCACUGCACUCCAGCCUGGACAACAAGAGUGAAACUCCAUCUCAAAAAAAAAAUUUUUUUUUCUAUGGAAAAAAGUCUAUUUUGUGAGAUAUACAUAUAUUUUUUUUUAAAUAAAAAUGUGUUGGUCCACCCCCCCCACACCUCCACCCCUGCAGUCAAAGCCACUGACCAUGGAGCCAGGAGCCACCCAAUGAGGUGUCUUUUCUCUAAGGAUGGUGAAGUUAGAGAAGGCUCCUUUAAACCUCCUCCACCAUGUGCCAGAAACCCAGAGAACACUCACGGCGGCCCUGAGCUCUCGAGAAUCGUUGUGCAAUGCCCAUUCCAGCAGCCAUGCACAUCUCAUGGCCAGGGUGAGCCUAGGAAGGAAGGGCAGAGGAUGACACAUUCGACGUGAGUAGGACUUUCUGUGUGUCCACUCUGUGGGGCUCUUCUUUGGAACGUCACUGUGGACACAGGAGUCAGAGGUGAACGAAGGCACUGAGAGGGGAUGGGGCACUGGCAUUGGAGGAGUGAGGAGCACCCAGCCAUCCUUAUUCGCUUUACUGCUUUUGGCAGUUUUUCUGUUUGAUGUGUUAAUUCGUGUACACGCUGCAUGCCAGCCGCCACUGAUGGCCGCCUUAACGGCGGUGCUGACCACGGCUGCUUUGUCAGCACAGGUGAAGCUGUUGAAACGCCUCUCAGAGGGGCCUCUGGUGGCACUGCCCAUCUCUUCCCUCAGCCUCUCCUGAGUGAGGCCUGCUGCGGGGUUUCCGAGAGUUCCCUCAGGAAGCGGCAGAAGGGAGCAGAUGCCCGAGGUCAGGUGCCUGAGAGACGGUAGCAUUUGGACAGCCCAGUAGCCUUUCCCAUGGUCACGCAAAUUCUCCUGAAACUCAGGCAGGGUCUGAAGAAACACAAGAUGGCACAAAGCCAUCCCCAGAGCCGUGGGUCCCACGUGGUUAAAUGUGGAAAACACUCGCUGAGGGUCAUAGUGGAAAACAGCGGCUGGAGAUGGGGUCUUCCUGUUGGCUGCCGAGACGGUGACAUCUACAGGUGUUGAGUGGCUAAAAAAAUGUAUUCCUUGCAAUGCCUCACAGACAUGGUAACGUAUGCACAUAUGCGUAGUGGCCUGCCAGGGCUGGUAAGAUAACAUCCCUUCUAUAUUCAGGGAGAUGAAAUCUGAUCUUUUUUUUUUUUUUUUUUUUUUUGAGACAGAGUCUUGCUCUGUCACCCAGGCUGGAGUGCAGUGGCGUGAUCUUGGCUCACUGCAACCUUCGCCUCCCAGG